CCGAGCCUCCUUCCUCAUGACCUUUGUCAUGGGCGGAGUUCCUCACGCUGGCUACCGGCAGUGAUAGAAUUUCCAGUUGAGCUAUUCCAGAUCCUGAAAAGUGCUGCACUCAAUAUGCAAUAUGCACUCAAUAUGCAAUAUGCCGGCUCCCGGCAUUGUCCUCCCUCUUCCCCUUUCUCAGCGCCCACCCUGGGCGUGGGGGGAGCCUCCUGCAUCAAGAUCCGGGGCCCCAGAGCCUGUCCUCCCGAGACAAGCCGAUGCUCGGAGCCUGGGCCCGCUUCCCACGACUACCCAGGACAGCCUCUCCGGGGUGAGCCCAGCCAGGCGCGGAGCCCCGAGCAGGGCAGGUGCACACCAGGGGCAGCUUCGGGCCAGACCUGGUCAAGUGUGGACAGUCGAGCAGCUCACCCAACGGCUCGUCUGUAAAACAAAGGUGGUGAAAGUGCCCCCCACGGAGGUUUUUGUGAAGAUCAAACGAGGCCCCACAAGCGGGAGGCUUACAGACAGCGAGUGCUUAGUCACCACGGGGCAUUAGCGACAGCACUAGCCGCGUGAAAAACAGGCAUGGAAUUUCAGUUCGGGAGAAGUCUCCAAAAGGUGAGGGGGUGAACAGAGUUCUGACCACCCUGGAAUUUGCAAAAGAGGGGGAGGGGAUAAUUAGGAAUCUGUUUAACCAAAAAAAGCAAAACAUCCUGAAGCCUAUAGAACACUGUUGAAGGAAAUUAAAGGUCUAAAUAAAUGAAAAGUAUCCCAGGAUCACAGGUCAGAAGACACGGUGUUGCUACGAUGACGAUUCUCCCCAAACUCAGCUACAGAUCUGGUUCAGUUCUGGUCAGAAUCCAGCUGAUUGAUAGAGUUUAAAACAUGAGAAACUGAUUUAAUAUUCACAUGAAACUUCAAGGGACCCAAAAAGAGCCAAGGCAGUGUCGUUCCUGCCUCUAGAAUGCACGCUGCAGGGGACAAGCUUUCCCUGCACGCCCAGUGAGGGGCAUGUCCGAACCAGCGGGGACCAGGCCCCGGCCACACAGCCGGGAGCCCUCGGGCUUAGCAGGACUCACUGCUGCCUUCCUGCAGGUGGUGCCCGCUGGGAUUGAUGGGUUUACGGGCAGGGACAACAUGCCAUGCCGCUGACAUCCUGCUCACCUACAGUCAGGGGCGUGGAAGUAGGAAGGAGGUGUGCAGACGCGGACAGACAAGGCCCCAGUGGGACAGAGGGCGGCUCAGCACAAAGGCUGGGCACCGGGACUGAGAGGCCGGCCUCCGCCUGGACGCACCAAGGUUGGACCGAGUGGCCGUCAAGAUUCCAUCUGCUUUUGCCUCCAGUGUGAACACAGUGGCAGGUCCCUGGUGCCAAAUACUCGAUGAAACCCCUGUCUGGGCUGGACUCUGAAAUGAAUGGUCAGCCGUCAGCAGGGCCCUGCCUGCCUAGGAGCAGCCAGUACCCCCCUCCACCAGGGGGGACUUCUUCUGUUUUCCCAAGGGGCCCCCACCCAGCUGGAGCCCCUCGAGCCAAGAUCUGGGUGUGAAGGCAAAAGAUCCAGGCGGUGCGGCCAGGACAGAGCGUGUCCAGGGCAGGUGCCCACCCUCCUGGAUGCAUGGGGACCCGGGGCUGGGACGCGAUGGGGAAGCCUGACACCUGGAUGGGGCUCACUGGACUGAGUCACUGAAAAUUCACUGUUGCUGAAUUUGCUUUCUUUCCAACACUUCCCUUGGCCUCUAAGUUUCUGUGUAGGAAACAGCAGGAUCUAGAGGAAAUUAUUGAACAGCAUCCGCUUUUAAAAAGAAAAUUUUAAAUAAUUAAAAAAUACUCAGAUCUCUC
ensembl:lncRNA